rnacentral:rRNA from 1 species
GAUGAACGCUGGCGGCGUGCCUAAUACAUGCAAGUCGAGCGAACAGACGAGGAGCUUGCUCCUCUGACGUUAGUGGCGGACGGGUGAGUAACACGUGGAUAACCUACCUAUAAGACUGGGAUAACUUCGGGAAACCGGAGCUAAUACCGGAUAAUAUAUUGAACCGCAUGGUUCAAUAGUGAAAGACGGUUUUGCUGUCACUUAUAGAUGGAUCCGCGCCGCAUUAGCUAGUUGGUAAGGUAACGGCUUACCAAGGCAACGAUGCGUAGCCGACGUGAGAGGGUGAUCGGCCACACUGGAACUGAGACACGGUCCAGACUCCUACGGGAGGCAGCAGUAGGGAAUCUUCCGCAAAGGGCGAAAGCCUGACGGAGCAACGCCGCGUGAGUGAUGAAGGUCUUCGGAUCGUAAAACUCUGUUAUUAGGGAAGAACAAAUGUGUAAGUAACUAUGCACGUCUUGACGGUACCUAAUCAGAAAGCCACGGCUAACUACGUG